rnacentral:misc_RNA from 1 species
GAUGAAGAACGUAGCGAAAUGCGAUAAGUAAUGUGAAUUGCAGAAUUCAGUGAAUCAUCGAAUCUUUGAACGCACAUUGCGCCCGCUAGUAUUCUGGCGGGCAUGCCUGUUCGAGCGUCAUUUCAACCAUCAAGCCCCCGGCUUGUGUUGGGGACCUGCGGCUGCCGCAGGCCCUGAAAAGCAGUGGCGGGCUCGCUGUCACACCGAGCGUAGUAGAUUUCAUCUCGCUCAGGGCGUGCUGCGGGUUCCGGCCGUUAAACCACCUUCAUAACCCAAGGUUGACCUCGGAUCAGGUAGGAAGACCCGCUGAACUUAAGCAUAUCAAUAAGCGGAGGA